GCUAUAAUGCAGUCGACGAACUUCCGUUAAUUGAUUAUGACGUACUUGUACUGAUUGAGAUUUUAACACGAAGUGAGUGGCGAACGGGUGAGUAACACGUGGGUAACCUGCCCAGAAGUAGGGGAUAACACCUGGAAACAGAUGCUAAUACCGUAUAACAGAGAAAACCGCAUGGUUUUCUUUUAAAAGAUGGCUCUGCUAUCACUUCUGGAUGGACCCGCGGCGUAUUAGCUAGUUGGUGAGGCAAAGGCUCACCAAGGCAGUGAUACGUAGCCGACCUGAGAGGGUAAUCGGCCACAUUGGGACUGAGACACGGCCCAGACUCCUACGGGAGGCAGCAGUAGGGAAUCUUCCACAAUGGACGCAAGUCUGAUGGAGCAACGCCGCGUGAGUGAAGAAGGGUUUCGGCUCGUAAAGCUCUGUUGUUAAAGAAGAACGUGGGUAAGAGUAACUGUUUACCCAGUGACGGUAUUUAACCAGAAAGCCACGGCUAACUACGUGCCAGCAGCCGCGGUAAUACGUAGGUGGCAAGCGUUAUCCGGAUUUAUUGGGCGUAAAGCGAGCGCAGGCGGUCUUUUAAGUCUAAUGUGAAAGCCUUCGGCUCAACCGAAGAAGUGCAUUGGAAACUGGGAGACUUGAGUGCAGAAGAGGACAGUGGAACUCCAUGUGUAGCGGUGAAAUGCGUAGAUAUAUGGAAGAACACCAGUGGCGAAGGCGGCUGUCUGGUCUGCAACUGACGCUGAGGCUCGAAAGCAUGGGUAGCGAACAGGAUUAGAUACCCUGGUAGUCCAUGCCGUAAACGAUGAUUACUAAGUGUUGGAGGGUUUCCGCCCUUCAGUGCUGCAGCUAACGCAUUAAGUAAUCCGCCUGGGGAGUACGACCGCAAGGUUGAACUCAAAAGAAUUGACGGGGCCCGCACAGCGGUGGAGCAUGUGGUUUAAUUCGAAGCUACGCGAAGAACCUUAC
rnacentral:rRNA from 1 species